rnacentral:misc_RNA from 1 species
AUCUCGCUCUCACUAAGUACUGUGCCUUGAUGUUCUUAAGAGGAUUGAUAUAUGCAGCCAUCUGUGGAUCAUUGAAAAGACUCCAAAAUCAUCCAGCACCUGUACGACAUCAAUGAAGGGUCCACCUUUGGAGAACUGGCUUUGAUUAGAAACAUGGUUCGAAAUUUUACGGUGAUUUGCAAAGGCGACUCGGAAUUUCUUAGUUUGAGCAAGGGUGAGUUUAACUCGAUAUUGAGAAAGGAUUACGAAGAUUCCUGGAACAAACGACUGGAUUUCUUUCAGAAGUCAGUCUACUUUGAAAAGAUGUCAGAAGAUCAAAAGCGACAGAUGGCGGAUAUGUCAGAAAUCAGGGAAUAUUCCAAUAAUCGGGUGAUCCACGGAAACGUUCCCGGGCUGACCCACCACGUCUACUUCAUCCGCGCAGGAAAAUGCGAAAUAGUCAAGAAAGUGGGAUUUGUGCGCUGUGUGUCCCCCUUUUUGCGACCGGAUCUCAUUUUACAGGGGUCAAAGUCUGAUAAAGCCGACCCCAAGAAGUUUCUGAACAAGCCCUACGGCCGUCGUCUGCGUCGCCUCACCCCCGAGGAUCACUUCCUGACAGUACUCACACUGACCGCAGGGGAGUACUUCGGUGUUGGUGAGGAUCUUACUGACACUUCUAUCAUAGCCAAGGGAAAAGUAGAGAUUAUCUCCCUUAACGCGGUUACUUUCAGUUUAAAUUACACGGUCAUUCAAUCGAUGCGAGAUAAUCGGAAAAACCUCAUACCCUCAACUGAAGAACUCGCAAGGCGAUUUGAGAAAAACAGAAAGUGGAUGGAGUACAAAAGGAAAGUCAUUGAUGAUAUUGUUAAAUGGAGGAAAAAGACCAACUGUGCUACCUACCAAGAUGUCCCGGAAGCCAUGUUGAAAGAGCCGUCAAUUCCACUGGAUCUUAUCAACUAUAAAAUGUUUCACUAGUCAGAGAAACCACAUGCAAUCUCAAUACAAUGUAUUACAUUAAUCUGGAAUAUUUCGUCUAUUAAUUAUAUACUACAUGUAUAAAUAAAGUUUGAUUUUGCAUACAGAUACUAGUAUACUGUAUACCACUAUAGAGCAAAAUUGUUUUUCAAUUUUGAUUUAAGCAUUCAGCAUAUCUAAAAAAUAAUUAAAUCUUUUUAUACAUCAAAUUUCUGAUCAGGAACACUCAAACAUAAAUUUGUUGUUCAUUAAGAAUCUAUUUAAAAUGAAUAAAAAAUAUUACAGC